AGCAGCCGCGGGAACACCGGCGGCCCGAGUGGUGAUCGUGAUUAUUGGGUCUAAAGGGUCCGUAGCCGGUUGGUCAGUCCUCCGGGAAAUCUGAUAGCUCAACUAUUAGGCUUUCGGGGGAUACUGCCAGACUUGGAACCGGGAGAGGUAAGAGGUACUACAGGGGUAGGAGUGAAAUCUUGUAAUCCCUGUGGGACCACCUGUGGCGAAGGCGUCUUACCAGAACGGGUUCGACGGUGAGGGACGAAAGCUGGGGGCACGAACCGGAUUAGAUACCCGGGUAGUCCCAGCCGUAAACGAUGCUCGCUAGGUGUCAGGCAUGGCGCGACCGUGUCUGGUGCCGCAGGGAAGCCGUGAAGCGAGCCACCUGGGAAGUACGGCCGCAAGGCUGAAACUUAAAGGAAUUGGCGGGGGAGCACAACAACGGGUGGAGCCUGCGGUUUAAUUGGACUCAACGCCGGACAACUCACCGGGGGCGACAGCAAUAUGUAGGCCAAGCUGAAGACUUUGCCUGAAUCGCUGAGGGGUGGUGCAUGG
rnacentral:rRNA from 1 species